CCGUGUUAGUUUAAUGCCAUUGAGAGAGUUUACAGCGAAAUCUGGUGUAAUGUUCAAGCCUAGAAAUGCCUUAUGUGGAUCGUCAGAAUCGCAUCUGUGGUUUUCUAGACAUUGAAGAAAAUGAAAACAGUGGCAAAUUUCUUCGAAGGUACUUCAUAUUGGAUACCAGAGAAGACAGUUUUGUAUGGUACAUGGAUAAUCCACAGAACCUACCUUCUGGAUCAUCACGUGUUGGAGCCAUCAAACUUACCUACAUUUCAAAGGUUAGCGAUGCAACUAAGCUAAGGCCAAAGGCUGAGUUCUGUUUUGUUAUGAAUGCAGGAAUGAGGAAAUAUUUUCUACAAGCCAAUGAUCAGCAGGACCUAGUAGAAUGGGUAAAUGUGUUGAACAAAGCUAUAAAAAUUACAGUACCAAAGCAGUCAGAUUCACAGCCUAAUUCCGAUAACCCAAGUCGCCAAGGUGAAUGUGGGAAGAAGCAAGUGUCUUACAGAACUGAUAUUGUUGGUGGUGUGCCCAUCAUUACUCCAACUCAGAAAGAAGAU